GGAAAUACGGAAACAGUGGCGGAAAUUUAGCAUCCAAUUCCGUUCAUUUUCGCUUUGUUCCCAAAAUUUUUGCCGCGAGCAGUCCCAAAAACAACAGCCGGUCAACAUUUUUCGCCCGUGCAAGCCCACCACCAAACCCAGCCCAGACCAUCUGGGGAAAACAGCUCAACGCUUCAUUUAUGCAACACAGGCCCCGGCCGUUUCACACAGAGCAUUACUGCGCCUCGCUUCCCACCGCACUCCGGUCCCCGGCGGCCAGCGACCGCUCGACCCCCGCGCCACCUUGCCUGCAUUCCAUUCGCCCUUGCCGACCGUCUGCCGUUUGUGGGCAUCGCGGCUUCUGCAGCAACCCAAGGUUUGCCGCCGGCGAAACUAGUUCCCGUCGUCCCUAAUGCCUCGCCGAGCAAUCCUGUGCUCUGCUACUGCUCCCUCCAUCCCAUGGACUCCAGAUCCUUUCCUGCCUGCCUGCAGAUCCCCUUGUAGUUGCAAGGGUGAGCAUUGUCAGGAACUCGGGAUAAGAUGCACGGCCUCAAAAGCAAGAUAACAGGAUCGUACCCACCGUUGCUUCUGUCAGUCUAAGUUGUGAUCUUGUGAAUUCAGCCACCAGGAGAAAUUCCUCUAAAUCUUUACCUUCUUCA